GCCAGCCCGCUCAGAACUCAAGGAAGUUGACGGGGCCCGCACAAGCGGUGGAGUAUGUGGUUUAAUUCGAUGCAACGCGAAGAACCUUACCUGGUCUUGACAUCCCGGAGACCCUUAGGAAACUAGGGGGUGCUUCCAUCUGGAAGAAUCUGGAGACAGGUGCUGCAUGGCUGUCGUCAGCUCGUGUCGUGAGAUGUUGGGUUAAGUCCCGCAACGAGCGCAACCCUUGCCUUUAGUUGCCAGCAGUUCGGCUGGGCACUCUAAAGGGACUGCCGGUGUUAAACCGGAGGAAGGUGGGGAUGACGUCAAGUCCUCAUGGCCUUUAUGACCAGGGCUACGCACGUACUACAAUGGCCGAUACAAAGGGCAGCGACACUGCGAGGUGAAGCCAAUCCCGUAAAAUCGGUCUCAGUCCGGAUUGGAGUCUGCAACUCGACUCCAUGAAGUUGGAAUCGCUAGUAAUCGUGGAUCAGCAUGCCACGGUGAAUACGUUCCCGGGCCUU
rnacentral:rRNA from 1 species